UAGGUUGCCUCCUAGUAGCGCUUGUUUAACGUCACGAGCCUGACCCAAACCUGUUUAGCACUCAUCAGUAAAUGCAUACCUUUCCAACACCCAUCAGUAGGUGUACCUCCCUGUAUCCUUCAGUAGAUACCUAAAUCUUCUAGCAUCCCUCAGUAGAUGCUAUCCCAGUAGCAUUCAUCAGUAAACACUGAUCUUUCUAAUCUUCAUUGGCAUCCAUUAGUAAAUGCCAUAUCACCUAACAUCCAUCAGUAGAUGUUGUAGAAGCAUCCAUCAGUAGAUGUUAUCAUCACUGCCAUCAGAAG
rnacentral:lncRNA from 1 species